AAUGAGUAAAACCGGAAUAUAUAUAUUUUUUUUAAAAAAAUAAAAAGUGUUGAACAUUAAAAUUUGAAAACUCUAUUGUUCACCUUUAUAUUGACUUGUGCUUUCAGUUAAAGCAUGAAUGUUCCUCAGAGGUUUGCUUUCAAGCAAAUAUUCGACUUAUUUCUUUGUUCUGAGAGGAUCUGGAAGACUGAUCUUUGUCCAGCCCAAAAUAUGUAUUCUUUGAGUGUAAUGAUGGACUCUCUUCGGGAAUUGAAAAGACAAAAGGGAGAAAGAAGCUUCAUUUUUGUCAAUUUUGUAAUUAUUCUACAAAAAAUCAUUGCAACCUACAAUCUCAUAUGAGAACUCACACGGGAGAAAAGCCCUUCGUUUGCUGCAUUUGCCAGAAGACCUUCUCUGCUCGGUACAACAUGAUCCGGCACAUUUCACUAAAACAUGAUCCCAAAAAACAGCUAAAAUAGUUAAAUGAUUGUUCAUUUCCAAACUAUUUGUAAUAGUUUUAGAUAAAUAAUUAUCUGGAAGUUAUCAAUAAAAUACCAUCAAUUGUUUUUUUUUUUUUUAAUUUAGCUCAAAUUUAUUUAAUUUUAGUAACUAAUAUUAUGUAUGUAUAUAGCACUUAAUAUUAUAUUGUGUUAUCUUUGCUGUAUGAAUUGGGCAAAACUAGCAUUGUUUUCAGUUGUGUAGUUUCAUUUACUUAUGACUUCAAAAAAAAAAAAAAUGAUAGAAACCUUUAAAUUGUUUUUGCAAGAGCAAUAAUGAAAAAAAUAAGGCACAUUACUUUCAAAAGUCUUGUGAUUUAUUAUUACAUAGUAGUGAUUAAAGUCGAUUAUGAAAAUAAUAA